GUAAAAUGCAUCAAAUGUACUUUAUUCAGUCUUAUUAAAAAAGAAACUUGUACAAAUUAAAUUAGUCACAGAAGCUGCACUAACCUCCGAUACUGAUAUGGACAUAUCGCAAUAUUAUUGCUACUAAAACAAAGCACAAUAGCUAUGAUGUCACAACAAUUUUUUUUACUGAUAUUUAGUUUUGUUUGAUGUCAACAUUGAGAAAAAAUAUACAAUAAGCGAUAAAUGAGAUUCAGUGGCUAAUAAAAUAUACACUGUAAAGUCUUAUACACAUUUUAAAUAACACAAGCUAAAACAAAAUGUAUUUCUCUCACACUGAAACUAAAAAAAAGUAUCACAACACUUUAUAAUAGCUUCACAAAGUUAGAGGCAAGGUUAAUCUGAGAAAAAAAAUCUCUCAAGAAAAGAUAUAUAAAUCAGGCAAAAAAAAAAAAAAAAAAA